UACGUAGGGGGCUAGCGUUGUCCGGAAUCAUUGGGCGUAAAGAGCGCGUAGGCGGCCAGAUAAGUCCGGUGUGAAAGUCACAGGCUCAAUCUGUGAAUGCCGGUGGAUACUGUCGGGCUCGAAUCCGGAAGAGGUGAGUGGAAUUCCUGGUGUAGCGGUGAAAAUGCGCAGAUAUCAGGAGGAACACCAAUGGCGAAGGCAGCUCACUGGGACGGUAUUGACGCUGAGACGCGAAAAGCGUGGGGGAGCAAACAGG
rnacentral:rRNA from 1 species